rnacentral:rRNA from 1 species
GACGAACGCUGGCGGCGUGCUUAACACAUGCAAGUCGAACGGAAAGGCCCUGCUUGCAGGGUCCUCGAGUGGCGAACGGGGGGGUAACACGUGGGUGAUCUGCCCUGCACUUCGGGAUAGGCCUGGGAAACUGGGUCUAAUACCGGAUAGGAGCCAUUUUUAUGGUGAUGUUGGGAAAGUUUUUUCGGGGUAGGAUGAGCUCGCGGCCUAUCAGCUUGUUGGUGGGGUAAUGGCCUACCAAGGCGGCGACGGGUAGCCGGCCUGAGAGGGUGGACGGCCACAUUGGGACUGAGAUACGGCCCAGACUCCUACGGGAGGCAGCAGUGGGGAAUAUUGCACAAUGGGCGCAAGCCUGAUGCAGCGACGCCGCGUGGGGGAUGACGGCCUUCGGGUUGUAAACUCCUUUCGCUAGGGACGAAGCUUUUUGUGACGGUACCUAGAUAAGAAGCACCGGCUAACUACGUG